CACAACUUCCAGAUAGCGGAGUGGCCUCAGCUGCGAGCCGAGCGGUGGCAGCAGCGCCCUUCAGGACACCAGCAGAUCACCUUUUCCCCGAGACUUCGCCAUGGCUGAGUGUUGUGUACUGGUAUGCCCACGGCCAAUGUGUAUCCCUCCACCCUACGCUGACCUUGGCAAAGCUGCCAGGGAUAUUUUCAACAAAGGAUUUGGUUUGGGGUUGGUAAAGCUGGAUGUGAAAACGAUGUCAUGCAGUGGUGGGGAAUUUUCAAUAUCUGGCUCAUCUAAUACAGACACUGGUAAAGUCAGUGGGACCUUGGAGACCAAGUACAAAUGGUGUGGGUAUGCUCUGACUUUCACAGAGAAAUGGAACAC
rnacentral:lncRNA from 1 species